UUGACAUUUAAUUAAAUGUUUAAUAUUUGACUAUGCAACAUGUUUGUUUACGUUAUGUAUUUGCUAAGUUUUUCUUUCAUCUGCACGUAAGCCUCAUGGAACGCACCCAUAAAUUGACGUUAUCUUACAUAUGUGAUCUUAUCUGUGAUUGUAUCUUUUGACGGUUUAACAACUAUUAUCUAUGGUUUAACAAUUUACUAUUUAUUAGUUUUUCGGAGUUGAUGGUUCGUCCCAUUCGUCCUAAUUGUAAUACUUGGGUUAAUUUUGGUAUUUCGCUUUGUUCUUGGUGCGUUUUUGUUAUUUAUUUCAUGUUAUAUAUUUAAUAACAUAGUCAAUCUGUUGUUCUUGUCGAUCAUUUGCAGAUAAUUGACUUAAUAGUGUGCUGUGGUGCAGGACUCCCUCGACUUGGUUGUUUGCUGGUUACGAUUAACCUAGAACGAAUUUGCAGUAAAUUGGCAGUGCAAUAUCUGAGGAUCGUGUCUGUGAUUGUGUUAACAUCUAAUUCUCAAAUAAGUGAUCUUUUUUUUGUUUGUCUAUAUAACCAUAAAGUGACUAUGAUGUCUUAAAGCAACUCUUAACCAUCUUCCUGUGGUGAUAGAAGGGAGUUCUUAUUAACAACACUAGUAUAAACUUAACCAGUACAAAGUCCGGUAAGGUUAACCUGCUUUUUAUAAGAAACGAGCACUGUAUUAUUAGUAAGGUGUUUAAGUAAUUGGUAACCACUAUUAAUUAAUAAAAAGUAACAUUCAUUUAAAUCACUUAAUGAACAGAGAAGAAGGUUGAUAAUUACUUUAAUAUGGUAUGCACGUAAUGUUACUAAGGAGGCUAAACUGAUCAUAUGUGAUAGUGAGUUCAUUUGAAGUUAUAUUACCCUCUUAAUUUUUAAAAAUGCAACAUGUUUAUUUUCUUUGACAAGAGUAUAUUUUGCUUUGUCUGUAAUUUUUCCUUUCAUGUAUAGUAACCCUCUUUAUGGAACGCAUCCAAUUUCUUCAUAGCAUAAAUUGAGGUUAACUUUCAUCUACGGUUAUUUGAUUUUGAUAUUUUGACAGUUGAUUGUGUUUUUUAUAGUGGAUGUAAUACUUGGUUUAAUUUCGGCAUUUCACUUGGUUUUUGGUAAUUGACUUAAUAGACUGCUGUGGUGUAGGACUGUCUGGACUUUGUUGUUUGCUGUUUACCAUUAACCUAGAACGAAUUUGCAGUCAAUAAUUGUGGGAGUAGAGGCCAUAAUAUUUUUUAUUGAUAUAAAUUGUGAAAUAGGUUCAUAAUUACUUUAAGAUGCAUGCUGUUUUAAUAGGGAAGAUGAGUUAAUAAUUCAUAGUGAGUACAUUUUACAUUAGUAUUUUUGUUAUUUUUAAAUACAUAAGAAGUACAUUUUCUUCAACAAUUGCACAUUAAGUUUUGUGGUUGUAAGAUGUUUUUGUUUUUGCUUAAUAAUGCUACUUUAAGCAUGUAUGUUAAGAUGCAUAUUAUUUUUCCAGGGAAGAUGAGUUAAUAAUUCUGAGUACAUUUUACAUUAGUAUUUUUGUUAUUUUUAAAUACAUAAGAAGUACAUUUCCAUUAACAAUUGUACACCAAGUCUUGUGGUUGUAAGAUGUUUUUGUUUUUGCUUAAUAAUGCUACAUUGUGUAUUUAUUUUUCUGUUCAUCUGUAUGUAAGCCUCACAUCACAUUAUAUCCCACACCCAAAUCUCAUACCCUAAACGCCACACGGCACAUUCACAGUAGAUGUCACUUAUUACAUGCUCCACUCACGCCACGUAUCGCGCAACAUCCUACCGUCCGUUGUCUGUUCAGCUGUGUCUGAAAACCGUCAUAUGAUGUACUGUGGUGUUCGAUGGGUGUUGAGUGUCCUGUGGCCGGAAAGAGGGAGUGCGGUGUCCACGUUCGAUGAGCGGUGUUUGGCGUUAUGCGUCCAAUAAGUGGUGGAUAAAUAGAUGGAAUCUUACGGAUGUGAAAGGUUGUGCGUCUUGUAGGUGUUGCCGCCCCUUGUCCGUUGUUGGAAGGUAUUCAGCAGCUGAUGUGUCUGACAUUCGGCGCCAUAAUCCAUGUUACGGUCUGGGAUUGCAGUACCCGGUAAUGAGUGAGUUGUGUCCGGUGUCAGGAGACUGUUUUGUCCGAAACGGAUCAUCAGGAUUCAUGUACCUGGUAAGUGAUAAACGUUAUGUUUUUGGGGUGUAGUAGUAGUAGAUGUAGGAGUGGGGUCGUCAGGCCAAGUCGGGUUAGGUUAGGUCGGGUCAGAUCAGUUUAAGUUGGGACAGGUAAGGUCGGGCUCGGUCAGGACGGGUCAGGUCAAGUUGUGUCAUUUUAAGUUGGGUCAGGUCAUCUCCGGCCAGGUCGGGUCCUUUCGUGUCCGGCUUGGUCAGGUCAAGUCGGGUCAGGUAGUGAGGUAAGGUCGGGCUAUUUCGGGUCGGGUCAGGUCAGCUCGGGUCAGUUCAGAUCAGGUCGGUCGGGUGGAGUUAGGUCAGGUCAGGUCGUAUUGGGACGGGUCGGUUUGGCCUUGUUGUGUCGAGUCAGGUCAAGUCAGGUCUGAUUCAGUCAGGUAGGUCUCGGUUAAAUGAAGUCCGGUCAGGUGACGUCGGGUCAUUUCAGGUAGGGUAAGGUUAGAUGGUAUCUAGUUAAGGUUAGGAAGGGUCGGAUUAGGUCAGGUCGUAUUGGGACGAGACAGGUCGGAUUAAUUCAUGUUCCGUCUGGUUAAUUUGGGUCAGGUCGGGCCAGACGAAGUCGGGUCAUUUCAGGUUCCGUUGGGUUAGGUCAGGUAGGGUCAGGCCGUGUCAAGUCAGAUUGGGUCAGGCCGUGUCAAGUCAGUUAAGGUUAGGUUAGUUUAGGUCAGGCCAGGUGAGGUCGGGUCUGAUCUGGUGAGGUCGGAUUCGGGUCGCGUUAAUUGGUGUUGCGUUAGGUCAGGACACGCCUUGUCAGGUCAGGUCAAGUCAAGUCAAGGUCAGGUUAAUACAUAUCAAAUCAGGUCAGGCCAGGUCAAGUCAGGUCGAUCUCAGUUUAAGGUCAGGUUUUCUCAGG